rnacentral:lncRNA from 12 species
CAAUUUUAUUUUCAUUGAGCAGGCUUUUUUUUUUCCCAUCCACCCAGACUUGAAUUGCACAAUAUAAAAGCAUCAUAAAACAUUUUCUCCCUGAUUCCACACAACGAACUUCAGCUUUCUCUGGGAACUUAGAUCUAUUUUGAAGGCAAGUUUUGAACAAUGAAGAUCUUUCUGGCUUUCUUUGUUGCAUUGGUCAGCAUUGUGACCCUGGGUGAUGCAUCCUGCUUAACUGCACUUCGAAAGCCAUGGUGGCCCCAAAAAGGU